rnacentral:rRNA from 1 species
UUAAGCGACUAAGCGUACACGGUGGAUGCCCUGGCAGUCAGAGGCGAUGAAGGACGUGCUAAUCUGCGAAAAGCGUCGGUAAGGUGAUAUGAACCGUUAUAACCGGCGAUGUCCGAAUGGGGAAACCCAGUGCAAUUCGUUGCACUAUCGUUAACUGAAUACAUAGGUUAACGAGGCGAACCGGGGGAACUGAAACAUCUAAGUACCCCGAGGAAAAGAAAUCAACCGAGAUUCCCCCAGUAGCGGCGAGCGAACGGGGAGCAGCCCAGAGUCUGAAUCAGCUUGUGUGUUAGUGGAACGGUCUGGAAAGUCCGACGGUACAGGGUGAUAGUCCCGUACACCAAAAUGCACAGGCUGUGAACUCGAAGAGUAGGGCGGGACACGUGGUAUCCUGUCUGAAUAUGGGGGGACCAUCCUCCAAGGCUAAAUACUCCUGACUGACCGAUAGUGAACCAGUACCGUGAGGGAAAGGCGAAAAGAACCCCGGCGAGGGGAGUGAAAAAGAACCUGAAACCGUGUACGUACAAGCAGUGGGAGCACCUUCGGGUGUGACUGCGUACCUUUUGUAUAAUGGGUCAGCGACUUAUAUUCUGUAGCAAGGUUAACCGUAUAGGGGAGCCGCAGGGAAACCGAGUCUUAACUGGGCGUUAAGUUGCAGGGUAUAGACCCGAAACCCGGUGAUCUAGCCAUGGGCAGGUUGAAGGUUGGGUAACACUAACUGGAGGACCGAACCGACUAAUGUUGAAAAAUUAGCGGAUGACUUGUGGCUGGGGGUGAAAGGCCAAUCAAACCGGGAGAUAGCUGGUUCUCCCCGAAAGCUAUUUAGGUAGCGCCUCGUGAAUUCAUCUUCGGGGGUAGAGCACUGUUUCGGCUAGGGGGUCAUCCCGACUUACCAACCCGAUGCAAACUACGAAUACCGAAGAAUGUUAUCACGGGAGACACACGGCGGGUGCUAACGUCCGUCGUGAAGAGGGAAACAACCCAGACCGCCAGCUAAGGUCCCAAAGUCAUGGUUAAGUGGGAAACGAUGUGGGAAGGCACAGACAGCCAGGAUGUUGGCUUAGAAGCAGCCAUCAUUUAAAGAAAGCGUAAUAGCUCACUGGUCGAGUCGGCCUGCGCGGAAGAUGUAACGGGGCUAAACCAUGCACCGAAGCUGCGGCAGCGACACUAUGUGUUGUUGGGUAGGGGAGCGUUCUGUAAGCCUGCGAAGGUGNNNNNNNNNNUGCUGGAGGUAUCAGAAGUGCGAAUGCUGACAUAAGUAACGAUAAAGCGGGUGAAAAGCCCGCUCGCCGGAAGACCAAGGGUUCCUGUCCAACGUUAAUCGGGGCAGGGUGAGUCGACCCCUAAGGCGAGGCCGAAAGGCGUAGUCGAUGGGAAACAGGUUAAUAUUCCUGUACUUGGUGUUACUGCGAAGGGGGGACGGAGAAGGCUAUGUUAGCCGGGCGACGGUUGUCCCGGUUUAAGCAUGUAGGCUGGUUGUCCAGGCAAAUCCGGAUAAUCAAGGCUGAGGUGUGAUGACGAGGCACUACGGUGCUGAAGUAACAAAUGCCCUGCUUCCAGGAAAAGCCUCUAAGCAUCAGGUAACAUCAAAUCGUACCCCAAACCGACACAGGUGGUCAGGUAGAGAAUACCAAGGCGCUUGAGAGAACUCGGGUGAAGGAACUAGGCAAAAUGGUGCCGUAACUUCGGGAGAAGGCACGCUGGUGUGUAGGUGAAGUCCCUGCGGAUGGAGCUGAGACCAGUCGAAGAUACCAGCUGGCUGCAACUGUUUAUUAAAAACACAGCACUGUGCAAACACGAAAGUGGACGUAUACGGUGUGACGCCUGCCCGGUGCCGGAAGGUUAAUUGAUGGGGUUAUCCGUAAGGAGAAGCUCUUGAUCGAAGCCCCGGUAAACGGCGGCCGUAACUAUAACGGUCCUAAGGUAGCGAAAUUCCUUGUCGGGUAAGUUCCGACCUGCACGAAUGGCGUAAUGAUGGCCAGGCUGUCUCCACCCGAGACUCAGUGAAAUUGAACUCGCUGUGAAGAUGCAGUGUACCCGCGGCAAGACGGAAAGACCCCGUGAACCUUUACUAUAGCUUGACACUGAACAUUGAGCCUUGAUGUGUAGGAUAGGUGGGAGGCUUUGAAGCGUGGACGCCAGUCUGCGUGGAGCCAACCUUGAAAUACCACCCUUUAAUGUUUGAUGUUCUAACGUUGGCCCCUUACCGGGGUUGCGGACAGUGUCUGGUGGGUAGUUUGACUGGGGCGGUCUCCUCCCAAAGCGUAACGGAGGAGCACGAAGGUUAGCUAAUCCUGGUCGGACAUCAGGAGGUUAGUGCAAUGGCAUAAGCUAGCUUGACUGCGAGCGUGACGGCGCGAGCAGGUGCGAAAGCAGGUCAUAGUGAUCCGGUGGUUCUGAAUGGAAGGGCCAUCGCUCAACGGAUAAAAGGUACUCCGGGGAUAACAGGCUGAUACCGCCCAAGAGUUCAUAUCGACGGCGGUGUUUGGCACCUCGAUGUCGGCUCAUCACAUCCUGGGGCUGAAGUAGGUCCCAAGGGUAUGGCUGUUCGCCAUUUAAAGUGGUACGCGAGCUGGGUUUAGAACGUCGUGAGACAGUUCGGUCCCUAUCUGCCGUGGGCGCUGGAGAAUUGAGGGGGGCUGCUCCUAGUACGAGAGGACCGGAGUGGACGCAUCACUGGUGUUCGGGUUGUCAUGCCAAUGGCACUGCCCGGUAGCUAAAUGCGGAAGAGAUAAGUGCUGAAAGCAUCUAAGCACGAAACUUGCCCCGAGAUGAGUUCUCCCUGAGACUUUAAGUCUCCUGAAGGAACGUUGAAGACGACGACGUUGAUAGGCCGGGUGUGUAAGCGCAGCGAUGCGUUGAGCUAACCGGUACUAAUGAACCGUGAGGCUUAACCUU